AGAGUUUGAUCCUGGCUCAGGAUGAAUGCUAGCGGCGUGCCUGAGAUAUGCAAGUCGAGCGGGACUUAGUAGCAAUACUGAGUUCAGCGGCAGACGGCUGAGUAACUAUACAGGAAUCUCCCCCAAAGUCUCGCAUAGCUCACCGAGAGGUGGGGUAAUUUGAGAUGGUCCCCGGCGCAAGUCGGGGUAAAGCCGCAAGGCGCUAUGGGAUGAGCCUGUAUCCUAUCAGGUAGUUGGUGAGGUAAUGGCUCACCAAGCCUAUGACGGGUAGCUGGCCUCAUGAGGGUGACCAGCCAGAGGGGGACUGAGACACGGCCCCCACUCCUACGGGAGGCAGCAAUCAGGAAUAGUCGGCAAUGGGCGAAAGCCUGACCGCGCGACGCCGCGUGUAGGAUGAAGGUCCAAAAGAUCGUAAACUACUGUGGUAAAGGAAGAAACAAAUGACGGUACUUUACUAGAAAGGGGUCGCUAACUGCGUGCCAGAAGCGUCGGUAAUACGUGGACCCCGAGCAUUAUCCGGUGUUAUUGGGCGUAAAGAGUCGUGUAGGCGGUUUCGUAAGUUACCCUUCAAAUGUGCAGGCCUAACCUGUACACUCGGGGUAAUACUGCGAUGACUAGAUCUUUUUUAAGGGAAAGCGGAACUGAGGGAGGAGUAGUGAAAUGCGUUGAUACCCUCGGGAACACCAGUGGCGAAGGCGGCUUUCUGGAAAGAUGAUGACGCUGAGACACGAAAGUUAGGGGAGUGAAGCAGAUUAGAGACCUGCGUAAUCCUAACUGUAAACGCAUGUAAGCUAGCUGCAUGAUUUUUCGAGCAAUCGAGAUCUCGUGUGGCGCAGGUAACCCGUUAAGCUUACCGCCUGGGGAGUACGGCCGCAAGGUUGAAACUCAAAGGAAUUGACGG
rnacentral:rRNA from 1 species